CAGCAGAUAAACAAAGAAAACACAUACGCCAUGUUCCAAAAUCACAGCCCCGCCAUUUCCCUCCUUUCUCCAUCUCAUCAUUCAUCCUUCCCCACUUAACUCUUCUCUCUCUCUUUUUCUCUCUCUUCCUUCAGAUCCAUGUCUUCUCCAACACCAACCAUGGAUCCCUCUUCACGCCACUACUCCUACAAUCGCAAACAGAAAUCCCUCGGCCUCUUGUGCACCAAUUUCUUGAAAUUGUAUAAUAAGGACAGCAUCCACUUGAUCGGCCUCGACGAUGCAGCUUCUCGAUUAGGUGUUGAGAGGCGGCGGAUCUAUGAUAUAGUGAACGUCUUAGAGAGUGUCGGGGUGCUUUCUAGAAAAGCUAAGAAUCAGUAUACUUGGAAAGGGUUUGCUGCUAUUCCUGGGGCUUUACAAGAACUCAAGGACGAGGGUUUGAGGGAGAAUCCCUAUGGUUUUGACGGUGAUAAUGAAAUUGCAAAAUUGUCAGAUGACGAGGAUGACGAAGAAACAAUGUCAAAUCCCAGUAAUGGAAGUCAGAAUGACAAAUCAAAUCCCAAUGCCUCACUUACAAAAUCAUUGAAGCCUGAAAACAGAAGGGAAAAAUCUCUGGCGCUUCUUACUCAAAAUUUUGUCAAGCUCUUUGUCUGCUCUAAUAUCGAAAUGAUUUCCCUUGACGAAGCUGCAAAGCUGUUGCUUGGAAAUGCCCAUAAUACAUCAAUAAUGAGAACAAAAGUCAGACGCUUAUAUGAUAUUGCAAAUGUUUUGUCCUCCAUGAAUCUAAUCGAGAAGACCCAUACAACAGACACAAGAAAACCAGCAUUCAGGUGGCUUGGUUUAAGAGGGAAACCAUGGAGUGAGUCAGGUGACUCUGCUCUAAAUUCGAAUCACAGUGGCGAAUCAAGGAAAAGGAUGUUUGGUGAAGACAUCACCAACAUUAGCUUCAAGAGGAACAAAGUGGAUCCGUUUAUGAAUGCUGAGAAUAGCUGCAAGAGUUACUCCAAGAUUCAAGACCAACUCGAAAACGAUGAUGAUAGUUGUUGGCAAGCUCACACGGAUAAAGGCAUCGUGAAACAAGAAAGAAAACAGAAUUCAAAGGGCUACCAUUUUGGUCCUUUUGCUCCAGAGUAUGUUUCCAAGAAUGGUGGAGCCUCUGAGAAUACUAAUGUGAAGCAGGUUCAUGAUUGGGAGAGUCUCUCAAAUGUGUAUCGUCCUCGGUAUCAAAAUCAAGAUUGACUCACAUUCCUCCUUUGUGUGGUUUGGCUACACCAAGCUUGAAAAUAGCAAGGUCUAUGCUUUGAGAGACCUCUUCUCCCACUACAUGGAAGCAUGGAAAUCUUGGUACUCUGAAGUUGCAGGGAAAAGGCCAAUACAAAUUUUAUAGUUUCCUUGUGUCCAGCAAUGACAAAUAAUAGUGCAGCUUUUCUUAAGAGAUGAUGAUUUCAUUAGGAUCAUGGAUGCAUGUUCUCCAUGCACCAACAUUAGAAUUUCUGUGUAAGGAUUUUCUUUAAAUUAUUGAACCCGUCUGAAUGACAUCUGCUCUGUAUUUCUUGCA